AAUGAACGCUGGCGGCGCGCCUAAUACAUGCAAGUCGAGCGAGAGGGACGUAGCAAUACGUUUGUAAAGCGGCGAACGGGUGAGGAAUACAUGGGUAACCUACCCUCGAGUGGGGAAUAACUAGCCGAAGGUUAGCUAAUACCGCGUACGCUUCUUGGACUUCGGUUCAGGAGGAAAGCGAUAGCCGAGGGUAUCGCGCUCUUGGAUGGGC
rnacentral:rRNA from 1 species